UACGAGGGGGGCGAGCGUUGUUCGGAAUUAUUGGGCGUAAAGAGCGUGUAGGCGGCUAGGUAGGUCCGUUGUGAAAACUCGAGGCUCAACCUCGAGACGCCGGUGGAAACCAUCUAGCUAGAGUACGGAAGAGGCGAGUGGAAUUCCUGGUGUAGCGGUGGAAUGCGCAGAUAUCAGGAGGAACACCAAUAGCGAAGGCAGCUCGCUGGGACGUUACUGACACUGAGGCGCGAAAGCGUGGGGAGCGAACAGG
rnacentral:rRNA from 1 species